rnacentral:rRNA from 1 species
CCUACGGGAGGCAGCAGUGGGGAAUCUUGGACAAUGGGCGCAAGCCUGAUCCAGCAAUGCCGCGUGGGUGAAGACGGCCUGCGGGUUGUAAAGCCCUUUUGGCGGGGAAGAAAGCCCUGGGUUAAACAGACUCAGGGGGUGACGUUACCCGCUGAAGAAGCACCGGCCAACUCCGUGCCAGCAGCCGCGGUAAUACGGAGGGUGCGAGCGUUAAUCGGAAUUACUGGGCGUAAAGCGCACGUAGGCGGUGAGUUAAGUCAGUUGUGAAAGCCCUGGGCUCAACCUGGGAACGGCAAUUGAUACUGACCGACUGGAGUGUACCAGAGGACCGUGGAAUUCCCGGUGUAGCGGUGAAAUUCGUAGAUAUUCGGAGGAACACCGGUGGCGAAGGCGGCUUCCUGGUCUAUUUCUGACGCUCAGACGCGACAGCUAGGGUAGUAAACGGGAUUAGAGACCCCGGUAAUCCUAGCCGUAAACGAUGUAAACUUGGUGUCGGUGGCUUAAACACUAUCGGUACCGCAGCAAACGCGAUAAGUUUACCGCCUGGGGACUACGGCCGCAAGGUUAAAACUCAAAGGAAUUGACGG